rnacentral:rRNA from 1 species
UACAGAGACUGCAAGCGUUAUUCGGAUUCACUGGGCGUAAAGGGUGCGCAGGCGGCCGUGUGUGUGAGGCGUGAAAGCCCGGGGCUUAACCCCGGAAUUGCACCUCAAACUACAUGGCUAGAGCAUUGGAGAGGGUAGCAGAAUUCAUGGUGUAGCAGUGAAAUGCGUAGAUAUCAUGAGGAAUACCAGAGGCGAAGGCGGCUACCUGGACAAUUGCUGACGCUCAGGCACGAAAGCGUGAGGAGCAAAAGGG